UGGGUUAAGUCCCGCAACGAGCGCAACCCUUUUCCUUACUUGCCAGCAUUUCGGAUGGGAACUUUAAGGAUACUGCCAGUGACAAACUGGAGGAAGGCGGGGACGACGUCAAGUCAUCAUGGCCCUUACGGCCAGGGCUACACACGUGCUACAAUGGUCGGUACAAAGGGUUGCCACACAGCGAUGUGAUGCUAAUCUCAUAAAGCCGAUCGUAGUCCGGAUUGCAGUCUGCAACUCGACUCCAUGAAGUCGGAAUCGCUAG
rnacentral:rRNA from 1 species